rnacentral:lncRNA from 1 species
GCGCCUCAACUAACUUCUUGAUUCCCUUUCUAUUUUUGCUUGUUUUUAAAGCGAUUUUUGUCUAAGAGGUAUUGGGAGAGGUGAUUAGGUAUGACAUGGCUAGAAUGCGGGUUUCUGAUGACAUGACCCUUGAUAGGAAAGUCUGGAGGUCUAGUAUCAGGGUUGUAGGAUAAGGGCCCCUAGAGUUUUUCGUACUCCUCACCCGGGGUUGGGGAAAGUCUGGAGGUCUAGUAUCAGGGUUGUAGGAUAGGGGCCCCUAGAGUUUUUCGUACCCCUCACUCGGGGUUGGAUGAGGCUUGGCAGGGCUAUCCUUAGAUGAUUUGUG